CAGCAGCCGCGGUAAUACCGGCGGCCCGAGUGGCGGUCACUAUUAUUGGGCUUAAAGCGUCCGUAGCCGGGUUGGGAAGUCCUCCGGGAAAUCUGGCCGCUUAACGGUCAGAAUGCCGGAGGAUACUCCCAGCCUAGGGGGCGGGAGAGGCCGAGGGGAUUCCCGGGGUAGGGGGGAAAUCCUAUAAUCCCGGGGGGACCACCUGUGGCGAAGGCGCUCGGCUGGAACGCGUCCGACGGUGAGGGACGAAGGCCAGGGGAGCAAACCGGAUUAGAUACCCGGGUAGUCCUGGCUGUAAACGAUGCGGACUUUGUGUCGGACAAGCUAUGAGCUUGUCCGGUGCCGGAGGGAAACCGUUAAGUCCGCCGCCUGGGGAGUACGGCCGCAAGGCUGAAACUUAAAGGAAUUGGCGGG
rnacentral:rRNA from 1 species